GGUCCCGUAGCUCAGCUGGAUAGAGCAGCCGCCUUCUAAGCGGCUGGUCGGGGGUUCGAAUCCUCCCGGGAUCGCCA
rnacentral:tRNA from 1 species